rnacentral:lncRNA from 1 species
GAAAAUGGUUAGAUCUACAGAAGCUCCAGGAUGAGAGUAAUUUCCUGCCAAGGGAGGGUAGACUGUCCAACAUGUUCGUUAUCAAAAAAAUGAAGGAACUGAGGCAGUAAAAUAAACAGAAACUCGCCUUGGGCCUCCCAAAUCCUCCCAGUCCCACCUUUUCCUCGUGAGCCUCAGAUUCCUGUGCAGAGCAGCCUCACCAAUAUGUUGUGCCAUUUCCUAUUCCUGGAAAAGCCCUGGAGACUGGGUGGUGUCUCACUAUGUUGCCCAGACUGUUUUCUAACCCUGGCCUCAAGCAAAUUUCCCACCUCCUUCUCCCAAAAUGCUGGGAUUACAAGUGUGAGCCAUGGUACCCAGCCUACUUAGGAGGACAUUUACUAUUCACUUACUGAUUUGCAUCAAAUUAUCGAUUGGUGGUGUUUCAGAAGGUGGAAGCUCUGCCAGCCCCACAUACAGCCUGAGUGAGACAUGCCCUUCAUUUGUUAAGCAGCUGAGGGUUUGUAACUGCUUGUGACUACGGCAUGUCCGAGAAUGUUUUGUCUGACGCACGACAAUGAGUGAAUAUAUAAUGAUUCAACAAGAG